AUUGAACGCUGGCGGCAUGCUUUACACAUGCAAGUCGAACGGUAACAGGCCGCAAGGUGCUGACGAGUGGCGAACGGGUGAGUAAUGCAUCGGAACGUGCCCAGUCGUGGGGGAUAACUACUCGAAAGAGUAGCUAAUACCGCAUACGAUCUAUGGAUGAAAGCGGGGGACCGUAAGGCCUCGCGCGAUUGGAGCGGCCGAUGUCAGAUUAGGUAGUUGGUGGGGUAAAGGCUCACCAAGCCAACGAUCUGUAGCUGGUCUGAGAGGACGACCAGCCACACUGGGACUGAGACACGGCCCAGACUCCUACGGGAGGCAGCAGUGGGGAAUGUUGGACAAUGGGCGCAAGCAUGAUCCAGCAAUGCCGCGUGCAGGAAGAAGGCCUUCGGGUUGUAAACUGCUUUUGUACGGAACGAAACGGCUCUGGUUAAUACCCGGGGCUAAUGACGGUACCGUAAGAAUAAGCACCGGCUAACUACGUG
rnacentral:rRNA from 1 species